rnacentral:rRNA from 1 species
GGCCUUGACAUGUCGAGAACUUUUCCAGAGAUGGAUUGGUGCCUUCGGGAACUCGAACACAGGUGCUGCAUGGCUGUCGUCAGCUCGUGUCGUGAGAUGUUGGGUUAAGUCCCGCAACGAGCGCAACCUUGUCCUUAGUUGCCAGCACGGUAAUGGUGGAACGUCUAAGGAGACCGCCGGUGAACAAACCGGAGGAAGGUGGGACGACGUCAAGUCAUCAUGGCCCUUACGGCCUGGGCUACACACGUGCUACAAUGGUCGGUACAAAGGGUUGCCAAGCCGCGAGGUGGAGCUAAUCCCAUAAAACCGAUCGUAGUCCGGAUCGCAGUCUGCAACUCGACUGCGUGAAGUCGGAAUCGCUAGUAAUCGUGAAUCAGAAUGUCACGGUGAAUACGUUCCCGGGCCUU